UUUUCUAUAUUCGGGUUCGGAUGCGGGUUUGAGUUAACCCGCAUAUCCAGAACCCGGACCCGGAUAUAUUAUUUUUAUUUUUUUAUUAUAUUUAAUAUAAAUAGUAACAUUAGAAAACACACACACAACACACACAAGUGCCCUAAUUUCACUCGUAUAUCGCAGCCACCGUAGCCCAAAAUCAGAGCCAACCUUUUUCUUUCUCUUCAAAUUGUCUCCUCAUCAACUCAAAUCACUGUUCUUCGCUACCGUCGCAGCUCUUUUCAUCAUCAUCAUCAUCAUCAUCAUUGUUAGUUGCCGUAUUUCGAGGGAAGACGCACCUUCACUAGCUUGUGGAGAAAACAACACUGAUAUGAAAAUUGAACUGGUAUGGUAUCAAAGAUGAAAAGAUAAUUAUUCAAUUAAUAUGUGAAAUAAGAACCAUAAUCAUCAAAGAACACAUGUAGGGCAUUAAUAAAAGGAUAAUUAUUUCAUUGAUUAAGAUUUCGCCAUUAAUCUCAGCAUAAGAAAAUUAAUUAAACAUACUUGAAAGGAGUGCAACAAAAUUAUUAAUAGAACCAGCCAUGGAAAGCUUUCAAAGACUACUACUGCUCCUUCUCUUGUCUGCGAUCUAGCUUCUGAAUUGUAUCUAUUGUGGCUGAAUUCUUGGCCGUAUAUAAUGCUGAAGACCGUCCACUACUGGCCAAAUUCAAUUCGAAGUCUAAUUUAAAAUCCUUUUCCAUUUGUAAAAUCAAUCUUUCUAAUUAGCGCCACCAUUACUUGUCAAUGCCUUAAACCAUUAAUUUUUUUUCCCCACUUUUGGUAGCUCUGCCCAUGCUUUCCAAUUGUAGAAUUAUAAUUCCUUCUAAAUGCAAAUUAAUCCUAGCUUCAGCUGCUGUACGCUCAAGCUAAGCCAUCUUCAAUGCUUCCCCAAAAUUGUUAAGAGAUUAAUUAUGCACUUUUCAUCCAUAACCUCCAAUUAAUUUACUGUUCAAUAAAGUAAUUCAAUUAACUAUAAUUAACAAAUAAAUUAAUUAAUAAAUAUAUAAUUAAGGGUAAAUUAUGUAAAUUUAUGGGCUUAUCAAAUACUCCCGAAGUUAGAUUUUGUUGGUCCUUAAGAAAAUAAAAAUAAAAAUAAAAAUAAAGAAGCACAAAGAAAUUCCUAGUUAAACCAUUUUCGGAGGUGAUUGCGAUAACAUUUAGUGUAGGCAACAAGCAUUUAAAUCCUUAGGUAACCGUAGUGGACGAGUUAUAAGCUCAUGAGAGCUUCAGCAAUAGUACCCACAACUAUUAUAUAUAUAUAUAUAUUUCAAUGACAAAAUAACAUAAAAAGCUUGAACCAGCAAGCCAUUGAUUCAAGACCCCCAAAGAUCCAAUCUUAGACUUUAAAUCCCCAAAUCCAAAACAUGAUAGCCUUAAUUGAAGUGACCGAGGCCAGUUUAACCCAAACCAACAAGAAAUAAUCACAAAGGAGCAAUUAAUUAGAACAAAAGAUCAACAUAAGAGGUUUAGAAUGGUUCAGCUAUUAUCAAUUGAAUGAGCUAAAGAAAUGAUCAUAAGUCUUUAUAUACAAUCAAAAAAAGAUCUAGAAAGAUCCACCUACUGUCGGCAUCCGUAAUUUUCCCACUAUUUCCAGUAGCUUUAAGAGCUAUUUGAGUAGCCUUGUUACAUGUAUCUCGCGUGCAUAUGCUUCAAUAAAAAAGACGGCAAUUAACCCAUGCCAAUUAAGCCAGACAAAUUUAAGCGAUUCACGUGACUAACCACAUGCUUUACUUAUUGUCUAGACGACAUUAGUAAGUUGUCAUACACACUGGCAGAUGAUAAAUGUCAGUGAUGACAGCAAGACAAGACAGUGAAUUUCUAACCAAAGAAAUGACUAGUCGUCCUGGUCUGCAUUUUCUGUUUUUAGUUUCACUAUCAACAAAAGGAUCGAAAGACUCUUUAAAUAAAAUAUAAAACAAGCCUCAAAGAUUGUAUAAAUUAUAUAGCUCAAAGAGAAUUUUAAAUUAUCAAAGUUCUAACUUUAAUAUAAGAAUAAACCCCGUCUCUCUUUCAAUUUUUGUAAUUCCCAAAAUCCUAAAUAUCUUUGAACAAAGAAAAAGAAUACGCCAAACUAAUUUUAUUAUCUUGAUUUCUAAUUUUUUUUUAUACAGGUAUUUAUGUGUAUUUUUUUUGUAUUUUUCUUUUUAGCAUAUUCAUAUAUAUAUAUAUAUAGGGUUAGGAGUUUUCACUCUAUUCCUUAUGGUAAUCUUUUUCUCAAUGUAAAUUUUCUUCAGUUUACUAAUGGUACAAAGACCAAACUACUCAAAAAUAACUUUACUCUUAAUGGUUAAAGGUAACCAUUUGCGACUAUAGUACCUUUUAUGCUACAUUUUAUUGUGGAAGUAAGAAUCGAGGCAUGAUUACAAUGCUUGGUCUCAUUCAUUAUGGAACUAAAUUAUUCUUCGUUUACCUUUUAUGUUUGCAUAUGGAGUUUUUUUCGUAGGUGUAGCAUUUUUUCCUUUGUUCAAUUUCCGAGAGGCUUUGCAUUCGGAACAAUUCCUCUUUCCCGUUUUGAAUCUUUGCUUUAUUGCUUAACAGAAUUAUUCCCUAAGCUUAUCACGACUAGGGAAUUAUUCCUUUAAGCUGAGGAGGGAACAUUAUUAUUGGGGAAUUAUUCCCCUAAGAAUAUAAGGAAUUAUUCCUGUAGGGGAAUUAUUUCCUUAUGAUUAUGGGGGAUAAUUUUUGCUGGGGAAUUACUCUCCCUAGGGAAUUAUUUCCUGAAGCUUAUAGCAUAUUAUUUCCCUAUAUGUAUAGGGAGUAAUUUUUGCUUGCGAAUUAUUCUUGCUAUGGAAUUGUUUCCUUAUGCUUAUUGGGAAUUAUUCUUGUUGGGGAAUUAUUUCCCUAUGCUUAUGAGGAAUAAUUUUUGUUGGGGAAUUAUUCUUAUUAGGGAAUUAUUUCCUUAACCUUAUAGGGAAUUAUUCUUAUUAGGGCAUUAUUCUCUAAAGCUUAUAGGGAAUUAUUCUUGCUGGCGAAUUAUUUCCUUAACCUUAUAGGAAAUUAUCAUUGUUGGGAAUUAUUCCUUUAAGCUUAUAGGGAAUUAUCAUUUUGAUAAAAUGGUGUUGCAUUUGAAUGUAUCAAGGAUUUUCUGAAUAAUGUAAGCAUUCAUCAUUGAUAUAUCAAACGGCAAGCUUGGAUAGAUUUCGACUUCGGACUUUUGACUACCAUAUCAUCAGUGUAAGCUUCCACAAUAUUCCUCAACAAUCCAUCGAAGAUUUUGGUCACAAGCCUUUGAUAGCUGGAACUAGCGUUUUUCAACCUGAAAAGGCAUGACUUUGUAGCAAAAUAGAGCUCUUGGAGUGAUAAAGCUUAUUUUUUUCGCAUCCUUUGGAUGCAUUGGGAUUUGUUGUUUCCGCUGUAUGCAUCCAAAAGGGAAAGCCUUUAGUAGCUAGUGGUAGCAUCCACUAAUUGAUCAAUUUUUGGCAAGGGAAAGGAUCCUUCGGACAGGCUUUGUUAAGGUUUGUGUAAUCUAUGCAUACUCGCCAUUUUUUUUCACACCACAACAACAUUAGAGUUCAAUUCAGGGUAUUGAACAUCCCAAAUGAAUCAAACCUUGAAGAGGCGUUCCAUUCCAUUUAUGAGCAAAUCUCCCAUGUUUUUGUUGCAUUAGUUUUACCAUUGGGUCAGUUGUUAAUUGGUGGUAUGCAACUUCUGGAUAUAUUCAGAGCAUGUUUGUGUGACCAUGCAAAAGCAUCGUACUUCCUCUUGAGUAGGAAAAUCAUAUGUGUCUUUUCCACUUGAGCCAAUUUGCACCCUUUUUUAUGAGGCUAAAGGAUCUAGGGAUAUUGUUUCUAGUUCUUCAAUGACAAGCUCCUUGUAGUGCAAGCAUCGAGACAUUCAAUUUGGAAUUGGAUUUUACAGUUGUUAUUUAGCCCCAUCCUCCAGCAAUUGCUCUGGUGAAGGAAAAGGUUCCUCAAUAAGUCUAUGUUCUAAAGAUGAGAACUAUCUCAUUUCCUCUAUUGUCAGCUUUUUCUUGUUCUCUAGAACGAGUUCUGAUCUAAAUGUUCCUUUGCAAGGUUUGAUGGUGACAAUUGCCAUCAUUUGAUCUUCUUCUAUAUCAAAUGUCCCCCUCCCUGUUUGAGAAACACCACAGACACUUAGUACAGUGUUGAGGAAACCGACUCCAUAUAGUAAAGCCAACUAGGGAUGGCAGUUUUUUCUGGACACGGCCCGGACCCGGACGAACCCGGACAAUCCGGUCCGGGUUUAACCCGUACCGGAGUACAAUAAAAUCCGGAUCCGGAAUUAUUUUUCUAUAUUCGGGUUCGGAUGCGGGUUUGAGUUAACCCGCAUAUCCAGAACCCGGACCCGGAUAUAUUAUUUUUAUUUUUUUAUUAUAUUUAAUAUAAAUAGUAACAUUAGAAAACACACACACAACACACACAAGUGCCCUAAUUUCACUCGUAUAUCGCAGCCACCGUAGCCCAAAAUCAGAGCCAACCUUUUUCUUUCUCUUCAAAUUGUCUCCUCAUCAACUCAAAUCACUGUUCUUCGCUACCGUCGCAGCUCUUUUCAUCAUCAUCAUCAUCAUCAUCAUCAUUGUCAGUUGCCGUAUUUCGAGGGAAGACGCACCUUCAUCAGCUUGUGGAGAAAACAACACUGAUAUGAAAAUUGAACUGAUUUGCGAAAUUGCCAGCAAAACUACUCAAACUAGGAAAAAAAUGAAAGAGUUAUACUUUCUUCCUCACGUGCUGUCUUAUGUGUUUCUCCUGCUGGAAAACUUUUCCUACCUCAAAAGCUUUUGCAAUUACUCAUUUUUCCGACUUUUUUUUUCUUUUUGGAUGGCAUUUUUCUGACUUCGAUUACGUAUGUGAUUGACCAACAUGAUGGAUUUUUAAUUUUAUGAGUCUGUAUAUCACGUUAAUCCUUAAAUUUUUUGGUUCAUGUGAUGGGAUAAAACUCAUUUUUUUUUUCUUUCUCAAACUGCUCUUAUUGAUCCGGGUUCAAAACCCGGAAUCCGGAAACCCGAAUUUUCCGGGUUUAACCCGGACCCAUACCCGGCUUUUGCCAUCCCUAAAGCCAACGCCUCUUUAAUAUUGCAAGGUAGGCCAAUUGGGCAUUAAUGACCAUAAAAUCAACUGAAAUAGUCUUGUCUCUAGAUUUUAUUAGGAGGUUGAUUAUUCUUUUUGUCGUUAGCCUUAUUCCCUCAAAGGCUAUAAAAGGGGCAUAGCAUUUUUGUAAAUAGUCUCAUUUUUUGAAAUCAUCCCAAUAAGGAAUCUUUGCCACUACUUCCCUCAUUAAUAAGAAUAAUUUUAACUACAAAAUUGGUGAUUUUCAGACUUACCACCAAGUGGUCUAUAUGAGGCAUGUCAAUUAUUUCAAAGUCUUUUCGAGAGAAAGUAAGCAAGGCAGGCUCCUUUGAAAUGGACAUAAUAGUAACUAUGAAAGUUUUAAUGAUUUCUUAUCACUGUAUCUUUUGUGUCUGAUAACACUAUGAAAUAAGAGUUAUCAUGACAUUUUUAAACCUAAACCAAUAGUACUUAGAGAGUAAAUGAUGCAUUUUUAGUUACAUUUUGCAUGAGCCUGUAUUUAAAUUUUAUUUUGAUAAAUUGGUUGUAUUUUAGAUUACUUUGUGCUCUAAUUAUGUGUGAUUGUGGGGGACGAAAAAGCCUAAGCUUUAUGGAUGGAAAGCUUGGCAGAGAUGACAAAAAAACUUGGCUGUAGAGGAAAUAAAACAAGUCUCGAACAGAGAAGAUGUUGUGGUCGUUACCAGGGAUUGGCUGUUUAUUGUGAUUAAUGAAAUCAGUUUUAGUUGGUGACAAUUUUUAUUUUUCUUUUAAUUUGUUUACUUUGUUGACAAAAGUGCUCUAGCAACCCUUGCAUGUGCAAAUAUAAACUUGUUGAAUUCUAGUUUGAUCUAGAAAUUGAAAGAACUGCAAAGAGAUUGAGAAACAAAUAGAGAAAUUUAAAAGCUAUUGUAGACAUGGAUGAUUUGCAAGAUAUAGGAAAUUUCAACUCUCGAGGAGAAAUAGAAUCAGUUAAUGCACAAGGAGGUAAAUAAGGUCAUAAUGGGUCUAUUAUUCAUGGGCAACUAAGGAACAACAAUAUUAUCUACAUGGCAGAUGAUAGAGACAGAGCCAUAAGAGAUUAUGUUGUGUUAACUCCUCAAGCCAUAAAUCCUGGAAUAGUCAGACCUGAAGUGCAAGCUGCUAAGUU
rnacentral:lncRNA from 1 species